AUGAACGCUGGCGGCGUGCCUAAUAUAUGCAAGUCGAGCGAACAGACGAGGAGCUUGCUCCUCUGACGUUAGCGGCGGACGGGUGAGUAACACGUGGAUAACCUACCUAUAAGACUGGGAUAACUUCGGGAAACCGGAGCUAAUACCGGAUAAUAUAUUGAACCGCAUGGUUCAAUAGUGAAAGACGGUUUUGCUGUCACUUAUAGAUGGAUCCGCGCCGCAUUAGCUAGUUGGUAAGGUAACGGCUUACCAAGGCAACGAUGCGUAGCCGACCUGAGAGGGUGAUCGGCCACACUGGAACUGAGACACGGUCCAGACUCCUACGGGAGGCAGCAGUAGGGAAUCUUCCGCAAUGGGCGAAAGCUUGACGGAGCAACGCCGCGUGAGUGAUGAAGGUCUUCGGAUCGUAAAACUCUGUUAUUAGGGAAGAACAAAUGUGUAAGUAACUAUGCACGUCUUGACGGUACCUAAUCAGAAAGCCACGGCUAACUACGUG
rnacentral:rRNA from 1 species